rnacentral:rRNA from 1 species
CACGUAGGGCGCAAGCGUUUGUCCGGAAUUAUUGGGCGUAAAGAGCUCGUAGGCGGUCUGUUGCGUCCGCUGUGAAAACUCGGGGCUUAACCCCGGCUGCAGUGGAUACGGGCAGACUAGAGGUAGGUAGGGGAGAAUGGAAUUCCCGGUGUAGCGGUGAAAUGCGCAGAUAUCGGGAGGAACACCGGUGGCGAAGGCGGUUCUCUGGGCCUUACCUGACGCUGAGGAGCGAAAGCGUG